rnacentral:snoRNA from 1 species
ACCUCAUGGUUAGGACAUUGUAUAAUAUUCCCAUUAAAUCUCUCCUAUACCUCAUAUAGAGGAUCUCCAUUCAAUUGAUGAAAUUUUUUGAUUUU